GAUGAACGCUGGCGGCGUGCUUAACACAUGCAAGUCGAGCGAAGCAGUUAAGUUGAUUUCUUCGGAUUGAUUCUUAACUGACUGAGCGGCGGACGGGUGAGUAACGCGUGGGUGACCUGCCCCAUACCGGGGGAUAACAGCUGGAAACGGCUGCUAAUACCGCAUAAGCGCACAGAGCUGCAUGGCUCGGUGUGAAAAACUCCGGUGGUAUGGGAUGGGCCCGCGUCUGAUUAGGCAGUUGGCGGGGUAACGGCCCACCAAACCGACGAUCAGUAGCCGGCCUGAGAGGGCGACCGGCCACAUUGGGACUGAGACACGGCCCAAACUCCUACGGGAGGCAGCAGUGGGGAAUAUUGCACAAUGGGGGAAACCCUGAUGCAGCGACGCCGCGUGAGCGAAGAAGUAUUUCGGUAUGUAAAGCUCUAUCAGCAGGGAAGAUAAUGACGGU
rnacentral:rRNA from 1 species